rnacentral:rRNA from 1 species
AGAGAGAGACAUGCGCGCAUAUCAAUAAGCGGAGGAAAAGAAACUAACAAGGAUUCCCCUAGUAACGGCGAGUGAAGCGGGAAGAGCUCAAAUUUGAAAUCUUAAAGGGUUUCCCUUUACGAAUUGUAGUUUAAAGAAGUGUUUUCUGUUGAGGUUUUGGUAAAAGUUCUUUGGAAUAGGACAUCAUAGAGGGUGAGAAUCCCGUAUUUGACCUUUACUUUCAACUUUGUGAUACACUUUCAAAGAGUCGGAUUGUUUGGGAAUGCAGUCCAAAAUGGGUGGUAAAUUUCAUCUAAAGCUAAAUAUUGGCGAGAGACCGAUAGCGAACAAGUACCGUGAGGGAAAGAUGAAAAGAACUUUGAAAAGAGAGUUAAACAGUACGUGAAAUUGUCAAAAGGGAAGCGUUUGACACCAGUGUUGUUUUUCUGAAAAUCAAUUAAAGAACUGUUUAUGCUAAGUUGUUUAGACUUUAUCAGCUAACUGUUUAGUUUUGAGCUUUUCUUUAAUGCACUUUUCAGUUAACAAGUCAACAUCAAUUUCUUUUGCUGUGAAAAAAGCUUGAGGAAGGUGGCUUGAGAUUCGUCUUAAGUGUUUAUAGCCUCUUGCCUAUGCAGUCGGAGAGAUUGAGGUCUGCAGCGUAGAUCCUUCGGGGCUAAAUGCAUUUGUGCUAAGUUAUAGCAUUUUAUAGACAACUUGUUGACUAUGAUUUGUCUUGUAGCUUACUCGCUUAUGUUAUUUUACCUACGCUUAGGAUGUUGAAGACUCUACAGAGAU